GUACAGGUAUAUUUAUCACCAUUUGAUGGGACAUGAAGUCGAGAUGCAGGUGGUUUGAAAUACUUUGCCUCGUCGAUUUGGCGCUCCAGGUCUUCCAGAGUUGAAUGCAUCUCAGCUACAAUAAUCGGGCAAUUAUGGAGGCUGCUCAAGUACUGCUUUAUUUCGGAGUUGAACAAAUCAUCUAUGUUUCUGAAAUGACGCACUGCUAAAUAAAGGUCUAUUCUCCGAAG